rnacentral:rRNA from 1 species
AUUGAACGCUGGCGGCAGGCUUAACACAUGCAAGUCGAGCGGGGUGAUGGUGCUUGCACUAUCACUUAGCGGCGGACGGGUGAGUAAUGCUUAGGAAUCUGCCUAUUAGUGGGGGACAACAUCUCGAAAGGGAUGCUAAUACCGCAUACGUCCUACGGGAGAAAGCAGGGGAUCACUUGUGACCUUGCGCUAAUAGAUGAGCCUAAGUCGGAUUAGCUAGUUGGUGGGGUAAAGGCCUACCAAGGCGACGAUCUGUAGCGGGUCUGAGAGGAUGAUCCGCCACACUGGGACUGGAACACGGCGCAGACUCCUACGGGAGGCAGCAGUGGGGAAUAUUGGACAAUGGGGGGAACCCUGAUCCAGCCAUGCCGCGUGUGUGAAGAAGGCCUUAUGGUUGUAAAGCACUUUAAGCGAGGAGGAGGCUCUUUUGGUUAAUACCCAAGAUGAGUGGACGUUACUCGCAGAAUAAGCACCGGCUAACUCUGUGCCAGCCGCCGCGGUAAUAC